UAGCUUUUGACGGAUUUUUAGGAGCUGUAAACUCUUUGUGUUUAUGUCGUCUGUUAUUUUUUU
rnacentral:tRNA from 1 species